rnacentral:rRNA from 1 species
GUCGAACGAGAGACCUUCGGGUCUCUAGUGGCGAACGGGUGAGUAACACCUUGGGAACCUGCCCGCGCACCGGGAAUACGCUCUGGAAACGGAGAACAAAUCCCGAUGUACAGGAAGGAGGCAUCUUCUUUCUGUGAAACAUCCUUUCGGGGAUGGGGCGCGGAUGGACCUGCGGUGCAUUAGUUGGUUGGCGGGGUAAAGGCCCACCAAGACGAUGAUGCAUAGCCGGCCUGAGAGGGCGGACGGCCACAUUGGGACUGAGACACGGCCCAGACUCCUGCGGGAGGCAGCAGUAGGGAAUUUUCGUCAAUGGGCGCAAGCCUGAACGAGCGAUGCCGCGUGAGUGAAGAAGGCCUUCGGGUCGUAAAGCUCUGUUGCGGGGGAAAAAAGGCAGCAUCAGGAAAUGGGUGCUGACUGAUGGUGCCCCGCCAGAAAGUCACGGCUAACUACGUGCCAGCAGCCGCGGUAAUACGUAGGUGGCGAGCGUUAUCCGGAAUGAUUGGGCGUAAAGGGUGCGCAGGCGGUCCUGCAAGUCUGGAGUGAAACGCAUGAGCUCAACUCAUGCAUGGCUUUGGAAACUGGAGGACUGGAGAGCAGGAGAGGGCGGUGGAACUCCAUGUGUAGCGGUAAAAUGCGUAGAUAUAUGGAAGAACACCAGUGGCGAAGGCGGCCGCCUGGCCUGUUGCUGACGCUGAGGCACGAAAGCGUGGGGAGCAAAUAGGAUUAGAUACCCUAGUAGUCCACGCCGUAAACGAUGAGGACCAAGUGUUGGGGGUGAAACCUCAGU